CCAGACUCCUACGGGAGGCAGCAGUGAGGAAUAUUGGUCAAUGGGCGCGAGCCUGAACCAGCCAAGUCGCGUGAGGGAUGACGGCCCUACGGGUUGUAAACCUCUUUUGUCGGGGAGCAAAUUCCGCCACGUGUGGCGGAGUCGAGAGUACCCGAAGAAAAAGCAUCGGCUAACUCCGUGCCAGCAGCCGCGGUAAUACGGAGGAUGCGAGCGUUAUCCGGAUUUAUUGGGUUUAAAGGGUGCGCAGGCGGAGCCGAAAGUCAGCGGUAAAAUGGAGGGCCUCACCCUCUCCCCGCCGUUGAAACUGCGUUUCUUGAGUGGGCGAGAAGUACGCGGAAUGCGUGGUGUAGCGGUGAAAUGCAUAGAUAUCACGCAGAACUCCGAUUGCGAAGGCAGCGUACCGGCGCCCAACUGACGCUCAUGCACGAAAGCGUGGGUAUCGAACAGGAUUAGAUACCCUUGUACU
rnacentral:rRNA from 1 species